UGGUUUGAAUUAUUUAUUUUUACAAGUACAGAUAUUUUCAUGUUAUCAAGCGGUUUUCAAUAUGGAGAUUUUUGAAUCAAUAAUCGAUUUGUUAGAUUUAAUUUGAAGUAUAUAAAAUGCAUAAAAAAUAAAAUUUAUAAUUUUUUGAUAUUAUUUAUCUAGUUAUCAAAAAAGUUCAAAAUCAAUAUUUGAAGAUAAAAAUAUCAUAAAGUGAUGAUAUAAUAUUAAAAUUUUAAAUCAAAAAUAUUAAUCGUGUUUUAUAUAGUAUAAAAAAUUUUGUAUUGAAAUUUUAUGUAUUUGAAUAUUUUUACAUCGUUAAACUCCAAACAACUUACCACAACAAUUAAAUUUAUUGAUUUUGAGCCCAUCGAUCAUUAGAUAAUGAUAUAAAGAAAUUGCAAAAUUUAUUUUCUAGUUAUUUUAAAUAUUUUAGAUUAAAUUUAAUGGAGUUGAUCGUCAAUUUAAAAAUUUCAACAAUAAUUUGAUAGUGCAAAAUUUACUGUGUUUAUAAAAGCACACAAGCCUAACGCGGCUCUCUCUCUCUCUCUCAAUAUAUAUAUAUAUAUAUUAUAUAUAUAUAUAGAGCUCUCUCUCUAUAUAUAUACAUAGAACUAGGCUGGAAUAUUGUUAAUAACAUUAAGUUAUUGGUGCUAUUAGUUUUUUAGUCUUUGAAUUGAGAAAUGUACGAUUAGAAUGAUGUGGGUCUCUUAGGGUUGAGUGAGUGGUUGGUUGAAUAGUAUAAUUUAACGGGUAAAAAUAAUCAAGGGGUUAAAUCUAACGAUGAAAAACUUGAUAGGACCAAGCCCUUGGUGCUAUCGAUAGUAUCCUAACCGGACUCCAUAUAUAUAUAAUUAAGUGAACAAUAAGUAGCAAGACCGACCGUCCCUAGAGUAAGUGACAAAGGGUUUGGUGAUUGAUACCCAAGGUUCUAAGUUUAAAUGCUAGUUGAUUUACAUUUCGAAAUAAAUUUAUUUCUAAAUAAAAUAAACUAAAUGGAUAGCGUGCUACCUAUCUUUUUUUUAAAAAAAAAACAAUAAACAGCAAGAUACAAGACCGACCGUCCCUAACGCAAGUGGCAAAAGGCUUGGUGGUUGGUAUCCGAAGUCUAAAGUUUGAACUCUAGUUAAUUCCUAUUUUUAACUAAAUUUAAUUUUUUAAAAAAUAAACAAAACGUACAACAUAUUACCUUUCUCUCCAAAAUAAAUAAAUAAAUUAAUUAAUAA
rnacentral:lncRNA from 1 species